AACGAACGCUGGCGGCAUGCCUAACGCAUGCAAGUCGAACGAGACCUUCGGGUCUAGUGGCGCACGGGUGCGUAACGCGUGGGAACCUGCCCUUAGGUUCGGAAUAACUCCCCGAAAGGGGUGCUAAUACCGGAUAAUGUCUUCGGACCAAAGAUUUAUCGCCUUUGGAUGGGCCCGCGUUGGAUUAGCUAGUUGGUAGGGUAAAAGCCUACCAAGGCGACGAUCCAUAGCUGGUCUGAGAGGAUGAUCAGCCACACUGGGACUGAGACACGGCCCAGACUCGUACGGGAGGCAGCAGUGGGGAAUAUUGGACAAUGGGCGAAAGCCUGAUACAGCAAUGCCGCGUGAGUGAUGAAGGCCUUAGGGUUGUAAAGCUCUUUUACCCGGGAUGAUAAUGACAGUACCGGGAGAAUAAGCUCCGGCUAACUCCGU
rnacentral:rRNA from 1 species